UGGGGAAUUUUGGACAAUGGGCGAAAGCCUGAUCCAGCAAUGCCGCGUGUGUGAAGAAGGCCUUCGGGUUGUAAAGCACUUUUGUCCGGAAAGAAAUCCUUGGCUCUAAUACAGUCGGGGGAUGACGGUACCGGAAGAAUAAGCACCGGCUAACUACGUGCCAGCAGCCGCGGUAAUACGUAGGGUGCAAGCGUUAAUCGGAAUUACUGGGCGUAAAGCGUGCGCAGGCGGUUUGCUAAGACCGAUGUGAAAUCCCCGGGCUCAACCUGGGAACUGCAUUGGUGACUGGCAGGCUAGAGUAUGGCAGAGGGGGGUAGAAUUCCACGUGUAGCAGUGAAAUGCGUAGAGAUGUGGAGGAAUACCGACGGCGAAGGCAGCCCCCUGGGCCAAUACUGACGCUCAUGCACGAAAGCGUGGGGAGCAAACAGGAUUAGAUACCCUGGUAGUCCACGCCCUAAAACGAUGUCAACUAGUUGUUGGGGAUUCAUUUCCUAGUAACGUAGCUAACGCGUGAAGUUGACCGCCUGGGGAGUACGGUCGCAAGAUUAAAACUC
rnacentral:rRNA from 1 species